rnacentral:misc_RNA from 1 species
AACGCACCUUGCGCCCUUUGGUAUUCCGAAGGGCAUGCCUGUUUGAGUGUCAUUAAAUUCUCAACUUCAAAUACUUUGCUGUAUUUUGAAGCUUGGACUAUGGAGGUCUUUGCCGGCGUCAUUGUCAGCUCCUCUUAAAUGCAUUAGCGGAACUUUAUUAAAGGACCAGCUUUGGUUUGAUAAUCCUAUCUAUGCCGUCGCUGUGGACUUGUUGUUCAGCUUCAAAUGGUCUUCGGACUGUCUCCUUGGUGAGGCAUACACUUUUAAACUUGACCUCAAAUCAGGUAGGACUACCCGCUGAACUUAA